UUUGCGGUGAUGAGCUAUUAACAUGUAAGAAGAACUCUUUAACGCUGAGUUUCUUCUAUGAAAUAUACUUGUUACGCUUGGCUUCUGAGCUUC